AAAUGUAUUAUGAAUUCAAGCGAAAGUGUGUUAUUCUAGGUAUAUAGUAUUUUUGUAGGAGUAAUAUGUAAGUGUUUCACUUCCAUAAUUUAUGUCCAACAGGAAUCAAUACACGCCUAUAGGCAUAAGGAGGUUUGUUAUAACAUGGCAAACGGUAAAGUAAAAUGGUUUAACGCAGAAAAAGGUUUCGGUUUUAUCGAACGCGAAGAUGGCGAUGAUGUAUUCGUACAUUUCUCAGCUAUCCAAUCUGAAGGUUUCAAAUCUUUAGACGAAGGACAAGCAGUUUCUUUCGACGUUGAAGAUGGUCAACGCGGUCCUCAAGCAGCUAACGUUGUUAAAGACUAAUUGUUGAUUGGAACGUAUUUCUUCGGAAAUACGUUCUUUU
rnacentral:sRNA from 1 species